UACGAAGGGGGCUAGCGUUGCUCGGAAUCACUGGGCGUAAAGGGUGCGUAGGCGGGUCUUUAAGUCAGGGGUGAAAUCCUGGAGCUCAACUCCAGAACUGCCUUUGAUACUGAAGAUCUUGAGUCCGGGAGAGGUGAGUGGAACUGCGAGUGUAGAGGUGAAAUUCGUAGAUAUUCGGAGGAACACCAGUGGCGAAGGCGGCUCACUGGUCCGGUACUGACGCUGAGGUGCGAAAGCGUGGGGAGCAAACAGG
rnacentral:rRNA from 1 species